rnacentral:rRNA from 1 species
GACGAACGCUUUCUUCUUUCUUAACACAUGCAAGUCGAACGGAAAGGCCCUGCUUUUGUGGGGUGCUCGAGUGGCGAACGGGUGAGUAACACGUGAGUAACCUGCCCUUGACUUUGGGAUAACUUCAGGAAACUGGGGCUAAUACCGGAUAGGAGCUCCUGCUGCAUGGUGGGGGUUGGAAAGUUUCGGCGGUUGGGGAUGGACUCGCGGCUUAUCAGCUUGUUGGUGGGGUAGUGGCUUACCAAGGCUUUGCCGGGGAGCCGGCCUGAGAGGGUGACCGGCCACAUUGGGACUGAGAUACGGCCCAGACUCCUACGGGAGGCAGCAGUGGGGAAUAUUGCACAAUGGGCGGAAGCCUGAUGCAGCAACGCCGCGUGCGGGAUGACGGCCUUCGGGUUGUAAACCGCUUUCGCCUGUGACGAAGCGUGAGUGACGGUAAUGGGUAGAGAAGCACCGGCUAACUACGUG